UGGGGAAUAUUGCGCAAUGGGCGAAAGCCUGACGCAGCGACGCCGCGUGGGGGAUGAAACUUCUCGGAGUGUAAACCCCUUUCGACCCGGACGAAACUCCCGCAAGGGAUUGACGGUACGGGUAUAAGAAGCCCCGGCUAACUACGUGCCAGCAGCCGCGGUAAGACGUAGGGGGCCAGCGUUGCUCGGAAUUACUGGGCGUAAAGGGUUCGUAGGCGGUGCGGCAAGUCGGUAGUGAAAUCUCCAGGCUUAACUUGGAGGCUGCUGCCGAAACUGCUGUGCUAGAGUGCGGGAGAGGCGAGUGGAAUUACAGGUGUAGCGGUGAAAUGCGUAGAUAUCUGUAGGAACACCCGUGGCGAAGGCGGCUCGCUGGACCGCAACUGACGCUGAGGAACGAAAGCUAGGGGAGCAAACAG
rnacentral:rRNA from 1 species